CGAUCAUUUGUCACGUACCUCCUAACUUCUUGCCUAGUAAGAAGCUUCGGAUCUUUACCAAAGCACUGGAGUACGCUUCAUGAGAUAGGUUUCUUCCAACCUGCUGCUGCCAUACGAAAUUUGAAUGUACCCACACGUUAUUAUUGACAGCUAUGCUCUAUUAGG